rnacentral:sRNA from 1 species
GCGAAUGAACGCAUGCGGUCUAUGUU